AGUAAGACAAAGCCUUGUGCACCAUUUCCCUAUCUGUAGCCAUGUCUAUGGGCCCUUGAGUUGGCCACCUGGGUUAGGGCCUGCU
rnacentral:pre_miRNA from 1 species